rnacentral:rRNA from 1 species
CAGUCGCCGCGGUAAUACAGAGGGUGCGAGCGUUAAUCGGAUUUACUGGGCGUAAAGCGUGUGUAGGUUGUUGUUCAAGUCAGUUGUGAAAUCCCUGGGCUCAACCUGGGAACUGCUUCUGAGACUGAACGACUAGAGUACGGUAGAGGGUGGUGGAAUUUCCGGUGUAGCGGUGAAAUGCGUAGAUAUCGGAAGGAACAUCGAUGGCGAAGGCAGCCACCUGGGCCUGUACUGACACUGAGACACGAAAGCGUGGGGAUCAAACAGGAUUAGAUACCCCGGUAGUCCCUGUCUCUUAUAA